UCCCAUUCCCCGGGGAGCCAGUGAGCACGCAUGGCUGAGAGGGGCUGGUCACGCAGCCCGACCCGUCGAACCUGAACCCGUUAGCACGGGCGGAGGGAGCGGUCAGUCUGCACGC
rnacentral:ncRNA from 2 species